rnacentral:misc_RNA from 1 species
GAAAUAGAGACCGGACACCGACGAGCCCGGCCACAUCGCAAAGCUCUCGGUCAGUGUCACGCCCGCGGUGCGCUCCGCAUCGAGCAGCCUGAACAGCGUCGCCUUCUCGGUGUGAUCGGGCUGGGCCGGAUAACCCGGCGCCGGGCGGAUGCCCGCAUACUGUUCNNGAUCAGUUCGUCGGUCGCGAGCGCCUCGUCCGGCGCAUAGCCCCAGAACUCCUUGCGCACG